rnacentral:rRNA from 1 species
CGGGACGGGGUGGAGUAAUGUCUGGGAAACGUGCCUGAUGGAGGGGGGUAACUACUGGAAACGGGAGCUAAUACCGCAUAACGUCGCAAGACCAAAGAGGGGGACCUUCGGGCCUCUUGCCAUCGGAUGUGCCCAGAUGGGAUUAGCUAGUAGGUGGGGUAAAGGCUCACCUAGGCGACGAUCCCUAGCUGGUCUGAGAGGAUGACCAGCCACACUGGAACUGAGACACGGUCCAG